UACGUAGGGUGCAAGCGUUAAUCGGAAUUACUGGGCGUAAAGCGUGCGCAGGCGGUUUUGUAAGUCUGUCGUGAAAUCCCCCGGGCUCAACCUGGGAAUUGCGAUGGAGACUGCAAGGCUAGAAUCUGGCAGAGGGGGUAGAAUUCCACGUGUAGCAGUGAAAUGCGUAGAGAUGCGGAGGAACACCGAUGGCGAAGGCAGCCCCUGGGUCGACACUGACGCUCAGGCACGAAAGCGUGGGGAGCAAACAGG
rnacentral:rRNA from 1 species